UUUAAAGCUUAAAAUGCUAGAGUUUUAUUUUAUGCCUUUAUGGCUUUCAUUUCGCCAGGAAUUAUACUUUUUUCGAGUGUGAAAAACGCAAAGUUUCGCCAGUCAAACAGUCAGCCAGGCCACAUAUCCAAUUACGUUUAUAGAUAUUACGAACAUUGCGCCAAAAAGAAAGAAAAUACGCACAACGUUGCCAUAAAAAAAUGGACGUAUACUUAAUGUGAAUUAGGUUUGGAUGUGUGACCCAACAAACAGACAGAACUAAAAGGGGUAGCAACCGCAGAGAGCCAAACUAAAUGCAUGGCUUGUUCUACAAAAUUAACUAUUACAUGUUAAGUACCAUAAUUUGUAUAAGCUGGCACAUUAGAAGGCACACAUAAGCAAACACACCCCAGGAAAAAAACAUUAUGAUUAAAAAAAUAUAUAUAUAAGCCGGAAUCGGUGGAGCACACGUUGCGUGUGUAUAUUUUUUUAGGGGUAAGUGUGUGUGGCGUCUAGUUUGUCCCAGGAGCUGGUUGACUUUUUAGUUGGCCUUUUUAUGAGCGACUAACUAAUUAAGAUAAGUGUGUCUGAUUUUCAUAUUAAUGGCACACAAACGAACCCAUUGUGGCGCCCUUAUCUUAAAUGUUCGGGGGCCAAGCCGAAGCGUCAACAGUUGCCUCGAUUCCAUACACUCUACAAUACGGUUUUGGUUCCCAUUCCAUCCGGAUCCUUGUGUGUUUUCUGAUUUUUCAAAACAUGAACAUGAAAGGACUAGAAGGGCCAAAGGGUCCAGUGGGGGGGCAAAAGGGAAAAUACGGAGAAAAGAGGCUACUGCAACGGACGUGGCUUACAUGAGCAUGUGUAUUUAAGCCUCGUUGGGCACAAAACAAUUAAUAUUGCGCCCGCCCACUGGCUCACCCACGACUAAGCACAAAUCAGCCUCCUGUGAAAUGUGAAACACAAAAGCGCGCGUUGCCACCAACAAUAAUAAUAACAACAACAGCCCCAUCACCAGCACAGGCGAGAGCACAAGCUACAGCAACAGCAACCGGAAACGGAAGCGCACAACUCUUUGCGCGAAUUAAUCACACAGCUACAACUAAAACUACACAGCAACUACAUCAAUGAGAACAAGUCCAACAAACACAAGAAACGCAGCGAACAGCAAAAUCAGCAAAGGAACGACAUGGACACGCAUAUAAAAUUUGCCUCGUCGGCUCUUCAGCACAUAUUCCCGUACAUGAAGCCCGAAUCAAGCACCAUAAUACGGUGAGGACUUCUUCGAACUACUUAUGUUUUAAUAUCGGAACAACAACAAUCCAUAAUCUCACAUAAUUAUAUCAGAUUAUAAUCUAUCAGUU